ACCGGCCCCGCUCCCGGCGGCCCCGCGGGCCCCGCGCGUUUCCGUUUCCGCGGGUUACCGGCGACACGGCCCGGCCGGCCCGGCCCGGAGCCACACCCGAGCACGGCCCGGAGGGAGGGGGUGGGCCGGGGGAGUUGCUGGUGCCCAGAAACCUUCACGGGGAAAAACCGCUUGGGCUUAAUUACACCGUGCCAAAAAAACCAAAAAGAAAGAUCCAAAAGAAGGAAGGAAGAAUCCCAAAGAAUCAGAGAAAUCUCCCAGUCCUUUGAGCUCUUCAAUCUCUUCUUCAGUCAGUGAUUGUGUGUAUGUGCAAUCCCAAAUAAAACCUCUGGCUGAUUCAU